rnacentral:rRNA from 1 species
GACGUAGGGCGCGAGCGUUGUCCGGAUUUAUUGGGCGUAAAGAGCGUGUAGGCGGCCUGGCAAGUCCGCUGUGAAAACUCGAGGCUUAACCUCGAGACGUCGGUGGAAACUGCCUGGCUAGAGUCCGGAAGAGGAGAGUGGAAUUCCUGGUGUAGCGGUGAAAUGCGCAGAUAUCAGGAAGAACACCCGUGGCUAAGGCGGUUCUCUAGUACGGUACUGACGCUGAGACGCGAAAGCGUGGGGAGCGAACAGG